GGUGGCCGCCGCCAUGUUGAUGGCGUGGGACGCUUAGCUGUGGAGGAGCGGUCGGGGAGCCGGGUUAAGAUGUCGGAAAGGGGGGAAGGGAGGGAGUCCUAUCUUGGUUUAAGGGGAAAGGAAGAGCUCGUGCGAGCGGUUGACAAAGAAGGGGGAGGCUGAGGAAUAGCCGGAGGAGCGCGGCGGGGAGGGGAGGGGUGCCCUGAAGGACACGGCCGAUUGUCACUCGGUGACUGCGGGCUCUGGCUGAGGCAGCGCCUCUCUGUGGUGGGAGCGGGGCCGUGGGGUGGGAGUCUGUCCCUUGGCGUGGAGGUGCCCGCACGGCUGCGGUGGGUGCGUGGCAGGAGCGGCGGCGUGGCGGUGAAGCGGCGGCCGGUCCCGGCUGCCGGGGCGUGCGGGCGGUGCUGUCGCGGGCGGGGAGGCCGCUCUGUGUGGCCCAGGAGCCGCGGCGAGCACGGUGGCUCUUGGGGCUGUGCCCCCCGCGCCUUCCGGGGAGAGGGGCCCCUGUACCGGCCACGGUGCUUGGCCCUUGGACCCAAGUACGGACUGUGGGUUAAAGAGCAGGGCUGGCCUUGGUCGGGCGGCUGCCCGCCGGGAGCAGGUUGGAACGUGCCCUUGUCACACGGCAGGUGACAGCCUGCGCUUCCCUGGUUUGAGAGGGUUUUUAAGGGUUCUGGCUCUGUCCGAUGCCUGAUAAUUGCACUAAUGGUGUGUAGUUGUCAGAGACAUACGGCUUGGUGUGACCAGCAGGAGGAGCUUUGCUUCCUUUAAAGUCCUUAGUAUGUCUGGAAGAGGGUAGGUUUAGAUUAAAGGCAAAAAUUCUUUACUGUAAGGGUGGUGAGGCACCAUCACAGGUUGCCUGGAGAAGCUGUUCAUGCCCCAUCCCUGGAAGUGUUCCAGGCCAGGCUGGAUGGGAUAUUGGGCAGCCUUAUUUACUGGAAGGUGUCCCCCUGCCCCGUGGCAGGAGAGGGUUACAACCAGAUGGUCUUUGACGUCACUUCCAACCCAAAUGUAUAAUUCAGUGUCCAUAGACAUGUAAAUUAAGUUUGAAAAAGCUGAGAGGGCAAAUGAGAUGGUGUAAGACAUCUCAGAAUUGUAUGGAAGCCAAGCUGACUUGUUUCUCCACUGUUUGUCUGUGCUUGCUGUCUCACAUUGGCAUGGCUUAGCCAGCUGACUAGGUGCUUGGUUUCAGCCUUCUGGCUGACUUGCAAGAGGUAGGCUGGAAUUUUGAGCAGUGCUUUUAGACUUUCUUGUAGUGAGCAUUGUCCCUGCUUGUGCUGCUCUUUUGUGCUGGGGAAUGGGAAAUACGUGUUCACCAAAUGAGAGAGUCAUCAAAGCUCUGUGAGCAUUAAGGGGACUGGAGUUCCCUGAAACUGGGUGUGGAAGGCCUGUGCUCGAAACAGGAAGGGAAGAUGGUCAAAGUGUUGCAUGGCUUGUGAAAUAAUACCAUUUCUAGUUACAGCUGAUUCCUGUGAAAUAAAGCACUUCAUUUUACCAAGAGGAUACUUAAUUGGAAAGAGUCCUGAAGAGUUUUGCAGGCUUGCUUGAAAUCUUGGCUAAAUUCCAGUGGUGGUACAGCUCAGGUAAAAUGGAGUCACAAGGGUUUAUUCCAUCCUUUGGCUCCUCCUGGAGGUAAGUACAAGGCAUUUGCUCAGGGUAUUGCUGCCCAAUAACACACAGGUGGUGUGUUUGCCCCAGGAUACACAAGUGCUGGAGGAAGGAUGUUGUGAGAUGUUCUAUGGUGCAGAUACUUCUCCUGAACAUUGUGGCCUUUCAAGAUUUGCUGGUACUACAGCAAUGUAUGCUAUGCUUUUAUCACUUUAGGUGCAGCUCCCUCUAGUUAAGAAAGCUUAACCAGUUGCGUGCCAUCCUGCAAAAGGUCCAGUCUUUUAAGAGUGCUUCUCACUGGAGAACAGGUUCUCCUGUUUUAUCAUACUCCUCACUGAAGAAAAGGAGUGGUGGGAGUGUAAUGCUCUUUUAAUAAAAUUUGUAGCAUCAAUAGUUCUAAAUAUCUGGGGAAUUCUGAAUUACAAGUACAGCCCUUUUUAUUUCUUAUUCUGUUUCUCCUCUAUGCAGAUACCUUUUGAUUAGGUGAGCUGUGGGUGAAAUAAAGGGCACUGGCACUUUGAUGACUUCUGUCACAGCUGUUGUCCACUGUAGACUUUAGGCCUAUGCUUUUAUCUCUGCAGCUGAUACCUGCAAAAAGAAGAGUGCUCCAAGAGCAGUCAAGAGCCAAAAUAGGAUGGACAUGUUCUUCAGCUGAAACAUGGCAGCAGUUCAAUAGCAGUUACACAGCAGGAAAGGGUGUGCAGGCUGCUGCAAGUCCCUGUGUUCUUAAAGAUCUGGUAUCUGAAAGAGCUCAGUAGAGAGAAAGGUGGUUGCUUCCACAGCUUCGAACUCACUCAGUUCAUUUAAGCAAACUCAUUUGAAAAGAGCUUGCCUAAUACUGAAACAGGAAAUUGAUUUUAUUGUAGAUACUGGGGAAGAUAACCACAAUAUGCAGAAUUUAAAAGUGCUAGUCAGGACACUGAAAAACUGCAAGUAGCUGAAGGACAGGAGGCUCCAAGACUCCAGUUGUGGGAAUUUCCCUUUUGGAAUGCACACUAGCAGUGGGGAGAACUUGCUAAACACAAGGAGAAUCAAAAGUUCUGCAGCUGUUAGCUACACAUGGAUAUGUCUCUUAAGAUGGGAUGGCCUGACAUGACCACUAAAGACCAUAAGGCUGUAGGCAGACUGCAUUUCUCUUAAAAGGAUAUAUGCCACUACCCAGUUCAGAACCACCAAACAGCUUCAGUUUUUGUCGAACACUCCUAGUUCCUCUAACAGUAGCUUUUCUUGGUCACCCUAACUCCUGCAGAGCCAGCUGGCUGAUUGUAGCUGUGCACUGAAGAUAAGCCUUCCUCACCCCUGGAUUGCUGGAUAAUGGCACACAAACAUGGUUCAUAUGGACUUGGGGCUGCUCAUAAAUCCUUUGGUUGCCACUGUUCUGGCUAUAAUAUGUAUAAUGGGUGCCCUGAACACUUCCAUGUGGAACAAGAAACACUUGGAGUGCCUGUUUAGAUGUACUUUCUGUAUGCACUGCCCUCUUCAGCGCAAAGCUUGAUAAAAUCCUGUAUUGGAUAAAGUAGGUAGAGGUAUACCAGAGGUUAUGGUUGGUGUGGACCUGACUCAGUUACCACUAAUGUGGGGAAGGUCUAUUUUUGUUGUGGAGUGGUAAACCAGAGUUGGUAACUGAUACUAUUUAGCUGAUGGGCUUGUCUGUGCCAGGAGAGCAGUCCAUGAGCUGACAAACAUCCAAGCAUGCAUAGUACUAGCUUUUACGCCUUUCAACAUAAAAAAAAAUUUAAAAAAAAAAAGGUGGGAGGGCAGAGAGCAGAGAAUUUUUACGGGCCAGAUAAAUUCUGAAAUUAAAAGCUCACUAAGAAUAUCUUCAUUGAAAGAAUGCAUUUUGGGAAAUUACCUCCUUUGUCAAGGGCAAUAUGAGCCUUUAGUUAUGGCAAGUGUCCAGCACUGUUCCUUGGCCCUUUCUUUUGUGAGGUUGUAGGGGAAGAGUGGUGGAUGAAAGGAGAGUGAAAGCCAUAACCAGAGGUUAACAUGUAAUUUUAGCAGCUAUGUUUAUGUGAAGUGAUGCACCGUUAUUAAUUUUCAAAGCAAGUCCCGCAUCUAAAUUGAUGGAAUCCCUGAUCAUGCGUGCAAGUGUCUUUGGGUUCUUCAGCUAUUUGAGUGCAAUGGUGCAAAAUUACAUGUUGCUUCCUAUAUGAUUCAGCUUAAAAUACAAGCUUGGGCAGUGAGUACCUAAACAACAGUAUUGUAGUCAGAGCAUUCCUCAGUGCACAGAAACCAUUUCCUUUUGGGUAAGUAAUGCUGCACUGUGAAAAAGUAUGCAGCUCCUAGGACAGCAUCAUUUGAUUGUGUUGCCUGUGCUACAAUUCCCUGGGUUUGCUCUCUUCCUUGCCCUGGAAUCUUUACCCAAACUUCUAGUAUUUCUGUAUGUUACCACUGGUUUGCUCUUCCUUUUUUGGGUGUGUUUUUUUUACUGUUUAUUUGCAAAUGUCUCUUCCUGGAAAACUGGCAGUGACAGUAAGUAUCUCAGGUUCCUAGCCAAGUUUCCACUCACAUGGUUUCACUUGCUCCAUUCUGUCAAGUUAUUUACAUGUGGUGUCCUAAGGGUGUAAUUUAGUGGAUUGCUAGUGAGGAGCUAACCUACAUGUGUUAGCUGCAGUCCACAUAAGUUACACAAACCUGCUUCCUCAUGAAUUUAGUGGCUACUCUUGCAGCCCUUGGUUUCCUCAUGCACAACUUUAUGAAAAAGAUAAUGUUACACUGCUCUUGCAGAGAUUUAAAGUUGGUCACGCUAGCGUUGCUCACUUUACCUGCUGAGUUGCAGGACCCAGAAUGAUUUCUGAGCCGUGUUCUGCAUGCACAACACCUUCUCACAAGGUGAGAAGGGUAUGUUCUUCAUGUCUUAACAGGUCUGAUGUGCCACAAUACAGGGAAGAUAGCUUAGAGAUGUGUAGUUGAUCACUUGAGCAACCUUGCUCAAGGUAGUUUUAAUCCUCGUGUUCUGGUUUCAUGUGUAUCAGCAUUGUUUUGUUUCUAGUAGAGCCUCUUUGGGCAUGCAUUCCCGGGUGGUGUAAUUACUUGAAUUCCCUGCUUUUGAGCUCUUGAAAAAUGCAGUUUCAUGAAGCAGAGGCAGCGGUGGCAUUGGUAGUUGGAGAAGUUUCGUGUUACCUUCUGCCCUUGCCUUCCCAUGCUGCAGUAUGCCAUUCCCUUUCAAGCUAAUGCAACUACCUGGAGCAGCAUAUGGAGCUAUCAGUGUCUUAAUCAGGGUGUUAACACACACUCCCUGCCCUGGGUAUGCUUUUCUGUGGGUCGUUGCAGAUGUCUGGAGGAGGAGGUUUGUAGUUCUGUGGCUUUCUAGAACUUGAAUUAGGUUUGUGAAUUGAUUUAGAGCGUUUUCAACAUGGCACAAAAACCAGGUGGCUGGGUCUGUGCCAGAAGUCCAGAGUUGUUGCCUUGUUGGUGAAGUCUCUUGACUCAUUAAAUUAUGCAUCUAAGAAUGCUGUUAAUUUUGUGGGGGAGGAGCAGCAAGUAUCCCUUGUGCACAUGGGUGCUUUUGUUAACCAUGUUUUUCUGUGUUAGGUGUCAUGACACAGCCGUUUUGUGGGUAGCCUGACCAGGCAGCCACCCUGCUGUCUGUAAGCAGCCCUAGAGAUUGUUCAGUGUACUCCAGACAAGUCCUUGUGCAAACAGCUGGAGUAAGAUGUGGAACACUUUUCUCCUAAGUCUGGGGAUUUUUUUAUUACUGAGACUACCAGUAUAUUUUCCUUUGAUGGAACUAAUUCUUACAUAUAGGGAGUUGUAUAUUAACUACCCCUGCACACAUUGCCAAAUACAAUUGUAUAUUCAGUGGCAGAGCAGAUCAGCAAAAGAGAGAAUUGGGUACUAAAAUGUUGCACAUAUGAUAGGUAAAAAGCUAAUCCUUAUUGUCAUUUUUGCAGUGCUCCUGCUUCCACUGAAGGCUGCUCUGCUGUGAGCUCUUACUAUGUAAUUAUGAUUUCCUUUCCCCGUUCUGAUAAUGGUGAAUGUUGCCCUCUGACAAGGACAAUGAGGUAACAGCUGUUUCAGAGAGACCUGCAGUGGCUUCACUGUACAUGCUCUGCCUCAGUGGAUGUCAGCUGAGACAGUAAUUGUAUCCCCCAAGAGUUAGACUUGCUGCUAUUAACCUUUCUGGAGAAACAAACAUAAAGUAGAGGCACGUGCAAUCCUCACAUGAGCUGGCAGCCAGGUGGGUGCUGUGUGCCACCAGGGAUGACAGGCAGUCACACUUCACUAACUCACAGCAGUGAGGUGCAUUUGGUCUCCUGAAAAUUCUUGCCCACUGAAAGCUUUCAUCUCUAGGGUAGAUUGUGACUGGAGGAUCUGCAUUCCCAUGCUACCUCCUGGAAACAAGAGGGUGAUGAAAUGGAGCUUAUUUUAGUAGGUCCAAAGAGAAUAAAUGAAUGUUAUUCAUUAUAAAUAUUUAUGCAAUAAUUCAUAAGUAUUUUUAUAGUGUAAAUUGUUUCUAAGUACAUAUCUGGAAAUCUAGGCAUGUAUGUAUAUAAAAUGUAUGUAUUUAAAUACAUUUGUAUACAUUGUUUUAUAUAUUAUUUAUAAUCCAACACUUAUUAAAAUACAAAUUAGUAAGUUGGGAGAAUCGUGGAAAAGGAGAGGAGCUUUGUGUUGACAAACUUGUAGGAUGGAGAAGCUAUUCCUUCUUGAGAACAAAUAGAACACAAAUGUCUGGUCCACAGCAAAUACAGUUGGCAUGAAUUGUUUUGUUAAAACUGUUCACAACUGUCUUUUAAACUCUUAACCUUGAGAGGGUUGAUUAACCUUGUCGUGAGUACUGAGGCAUGUGACAUGCUUGGCCAUGAAAGCAAGGAUGUGAGGGGUCUCACAAGUUUCUGUCAACACUUCAGUGAUGUUGCUCUCUGGGAUGGGUGGCGUUGCUGCCAUUCAUUCUGAGUGACACUGCAGCCUCAUUCACACGGGUUUGAUGGUACCUCAGGUAUCCCAGCCUUUUGCUAUAUUCGGUUCUCUGUUGCCUGAAGUUCAGUCUAGGUACAAAUCACAUCAGCCAAGAUCUUGCUUUUGGAAAUAUGUCUGCCUCACUCAUUCUGUCUGGUAUGAGUGACUCUUCUUCUUUGGUACUGUUGAUUUACCAUCAUUUCUCCCAAAGGAAACAUGCGUUCUGAACUUUCCUGUGCUCUGGCAGUGCUUUAAAUGUGCAACCUCCAGGUAAUGUUCACCUCCAUGGAUGUAAGGGAAUAGCUAUCCCAGUCUUUCCUGAAUUUACUGCUCAGCAGUCAGUGACUUAGCAGGAAAAACAAGGCAUUAUUUUGCUUAUGUCCACCAUCCACAAAUGGCGUUUGGUUUUCAUCACCAUUUUGCUUCUAGCUAAUGUGUCUGCCAACAUACAGGUUUUCCAAACUCCUUUUUUUACUUUCUUUUUCUACAAUUUCCUUGUCAUCCAUCAGUAGCACAUUGCACUCAGUAAUAAAUUUUAGCUGUGAGGAAAUGGUGAUUCUGGUGGCUGCAGAAUUCCACCUAUAGCAUCCCAUCAUUAUAAAGAAAAAAGUAAGUUUGGAGGAAGGAGCCCUCUUUGAAUCUGGAUAGGGAAAGAGAUGUCAUAGCACUUAAAAAGUAGACAAACAGUGUUCGUCAUGUGCCAAGUUUCAUGUAUUUAACCUUUGCAUUUUAAAAGUUUAAAGUUGUGCAUUCUAUUUCCUAAACUGAUGAUGCCUGAGGAAAACCAGAUCUCUGUAGCCAGUUGCUUCAAAUACCUCUUAAUACAGAAGUGGUGUUUUGCAGAUGCCCAGGAAGAUGCAGACCCAUGGUAUUGCUGGGAACCAGCCUGUCACAGCUAAAAUACAAUAGUGCAAAAACCUGUCAGCAGGCUGAGCAAACCCAGGCCUUCAUACAUAUCUCUACAGUGUUUUGUGUGAAAGCUAUUAUCCCUUGGAAAACUUGCUGACAUAUUUUAACAAGGAGAAUCAAAGACCUAGGAGUACCUCUGUAGGGUUCCCCUAAUUUGUAGUGCAUUCAUAAUCACAGUCAACUACUGCUCUCUCUUUAGUAAAGAUUAUAUUGGAAGCUAUCCAUACAUAAAGAACUCCUUGAUACAGUUUUAACUAUUCAUCCAUUUGCAUAUAGCCUGGUCUUGACAUCAGCAGGUAUGUUCACAUUUCUGAGUCCAAAAUUCAAGGUAGCUUUGUGUUAUUUCUUUAGAAAACAGUAGAAGUCAUAAAAGAAGGCCUAAUUUUCAAAACAGAAACAUUACAUUUGUAUUUUAUUUAAAAUCAUGCAGGUGGUUGUGCAAGUCGGUACAGGGUUUGUUCACGCAGGGUUUGUGGUUUCCUAGCCCACCUCUUUUGCCUGCAGAGCAGCAAAGAGAGCACGGUUUGUGCAAUCAUAAAUCCUGUUCAUCUCUCCUGGCAAACUCCUAGGGACGCAGCUGUAAGAUGAAACCCGGGCUGGAUGCGGCUGUAAGGGGAGAAAGGGAAUAGCAGCUUCCCCUUGCAGAGCCCAGGGCACCCUGUAAGGCAGACGGGCACAGAGAGGGCCCUACCUCGGUUCCUCCCAGCUCCCCUCGGGUCACACUGCUCAAGUCUUUAGGGUAGCUGAAUGCUACGUGGUGCUGCAAAAUGCACGUCGGGGCGUUGAUCUCUGCUGGCUCUGGAAGUGAAGAGGCCGCUGUAGCCGCCCUAGCUGCUGGCCUCCUGUACCGGUGGGUAUCCGCCAGCAGAGGGUGGCUCUAAGACCGUUCAUGUAUUGCUGUAGUGUUUAAACACUCUACAGCGUGAAUAGUGAGUUUGAUGGCCUCAGUGCUUCCUUUAGUGGCUAAUACUUCAUCUUUAGUUAGUAAUUACAAGAAAGAAGUAUCUAGCAAAGGUUUUUGUUUCAGCUUUCCCUCGCUGAUUUGUUUUUGGCUUUUCUCCUCUGGCAUUGUUCUUCCAGGUGAGAAUAACCAAAUAUAGUUAAGUUUAGGAAGACAGGUUUGAAAUACUGGUUUUGAUUGGAAACUACUUCUGCCCAGGAUCAAGGUAUUUGAAAUAAAUAAUUGCAUAAGUUGUCAGUUCUCUAGCAUGUAUUAGGGAUUGAAACAUAAGACACUAAUAUUGAAAGGAAGUAAUUUGACUGAACUUCAGACACCCAACAGAUGCCCAGUGUGUGCUUGGGCUUUCCUUGCACUCUGUGGAGAGCACUGUACACAUCCCAAGAUUGGUUUCACCACCUCUUACCCUAAUUCAAGAUUUCAGUGUAGAGAACACAGGCCAGCAGGAAACUGAGCCCAAACAGCACUUGUGUGUGUAUAAUUAUUCUCACAUGGAGUCCCACUAUGUGCGACAGUUAAUGACUAAAUGGCUAAUUAUGUGAGUAGUUUAUGUAGGAAUGGGCUCAGUUCUCGUGUCUGUGUUGCAGGGAGACUAAUUUGUCUCUUGAGAUGUUUGUUCAUUGACCACAGAGGAAGCAGAGGUUAGACUAGCUCAAAGUGAGAUAUCUGACCUCCACAUCUAGCUGAGAUACAGCUCAGCCACUGUGCCUGCAGGCUGCUGCUGCUAGCGUCAGGUAAUACUCUGCUUCAUCUUUGAAGGCCUGCACACACUGAGUAGAUUUUGUAGAUCUGAUUUCACAUCUAAGGGAAUAAAGUGUAACGAUUCAUGUAAUUAGUAGACAGUCAUUAACUUCUCUAAAAUCAGUGGAAUUCCACAUGGGACCAUGUGUGCGUGAAUAUGUAGUUCAGGCUGUUGUUGAACUGGAGACCUGUUGAGAAGCUUUAAAAAAAAAAAGGUGGUAGUAGUAAAUGAUGAUGGAAAAUGUUUAAUGUUCUAAUAUACAGUGAUUUAUAUUCUGAAUUAGAUGCUCUGUUCAGAAUUUUCCUACAUAUAUUUAAGUAAUUUUAAAAGGUUUGAACUAAAAUUCAAACAUUUCUCGAUUUCAAUUUAUUUACCGCUCAAAAAGUAUUUUCAAAGUGGAAUUCUUGUCUAAAGUUCUUAAAUUAAAAAACCCAAACACCUGAGUACCAGCAGUUUUGAACAAUUGCAGAAGUAUAGCACAGAUGCAGCCUUAGUAUUUACUAGAGUAGGUAAAAUUCCUCUCUGUUUGUAGAAAUAGAGCAACUUAGGGACCAAUUCAAGCAAAAAAAUUGAAGAGGCAUCUUCAAAAAGGCUACAAACAGCAGAUGACCUCCGGCUUUCUCUUCCACAGAAGACAGGCAAUACCCAAUGUGCAUAGGAUUCACGUCCUCCUUCCUGCCUGAUUGGCAGGUAUCAAGCCUUUUGAGCCUAUUUCCAAAAGCAUGUCCCAUAGUGCACAAAGCGUUUGAUGUAUGUAAAUAUAGAGACAUGCCACAACAAUGAUUAAGGGAUUAGAGGAAAAGGGUCAGGAGGAUAAGAGAAGAUUAUUGCAGACACAAGGGUGUGUUCAUGACACCGGCAUACACUGUGGUUCUUCUGGAAGUUUCCAGUCUACACCAGACUAAUCAGAGCUUUCUGCAGAAUGUAAGCAUGCACAGCACUUGUACUCUGCUUGAGGUUAAGAUGGAAAAUCCUGUGUGUGAUUCCUUGCUGUAAUGACCUGUUUGUAUACAGAUGGGCUUUCAAGUUAUGGAAAUGACCCAUGACUUAUGAAAUAGCCUCUUCCUGUUUGCAAUGAUGCUGUGAAAUAUUGAGUCAUCUCUAACCCUUGAGCCUUCCCUGUACAAGCUCUUUGUUGUUUGCGACCUGUCCCCUGGGAUUUGGAUUGAUGAUACUGGACAACUGUUUUCACUUGAACUGGUCCCAGUUUUACCAGUUUUGGAUUAAUUACUGCUCUUUCCUAGGGAAAAGGUUUGAUCCACAUCACUGCUGAUUUGAAUUAUAAUAACUUACUGAAAAAUUACCUGUGUAUAGUUAGGUUUAAGUUAGAAUUUUUGAUUUGGGGGAUUAAUUACUUGUAUUUACUGUAUGUACCUACUGUAUGUACCUGUCCUCCCACAGUGUAAUGAGUCCAGGGGUCCACAGAGUUCUGGAUUCAGAUGGAAAGUACAUACUGUAAUGCUCCACAAGAUUAUAUUUCACUGCCUUUUGGAGAGAGGCCCUAAUGCCAGUGAAAUCUCAGCAAUAUGACAUCUGACCCUUCAAGGGAUGAAAUAGAUUAGGUGCCUGAAAACAUAACACAAAAUCUUUAGUGAGGUAUUUCGUUGGGUGUUUUUAUCCUUUCUCUACAGAAUAUAGCAAAGGCUUAGGUAGUGCAGGUUGGAUGGCCCUAACUUAGAAUGGUUAAGGUUAGUUUAACUUUGACAUAACGUCUUGGCUGAAGAGCUGCAUUUCCAGUGGCUGUGUAGACUGCUGGGUGUGCUGCCAAAUAGUUGGAGAUUGCAGUGAUGUUGUUGUUAAUUUGUUUCUGCCAGAGAAACAUUCCUGUUCAUCUCUAGGACAGUGUCAUAAGUCACUGUCUCAGCUUGAAAAGACAGGUGUCUGCCAAGGAAGGCAGGAGCCUCCCUUGAAAUGGAAAAUGUAAAUCCCCUCCCUCUGAAUUAUUAAAAUUUUGAAAUUAAGGGGCUCUCAGGCAAAGAUCCAGGAAUAGGAACACAGUUCUUUACUAGGAAAAUUAAAAUAAAAAUGCAGUAAUUUAAAAAAAAAAAAAACAAAACACCAAAACCUGACUACUGACACCCUGUUGGUUAGGGUGUUGGUAGCAGUCUGAUUGAAUGGUGGCUGCAGUCCUCCUUGGAGUGACAAAUGUGGUUCUCUUGAAGCAGUAAUCCUGCAGAAGGGUGCAGUUCUCCUCUGAAGGUCCAGUGGUGGUGCAGACAGGUCUGGUCUUCCUCUGGGAAUCCAGUGGGUAAAGGUUAAACCACCUGGUUUUAACAGCUAGCCCAUUAACAGAAAAUAACUGUCCCACCUGCUUUUAACAGCAGGUAACAGAAUACAUGUAGUUACAUCAUGCAUUUCAACCUAGGACUGUCACUUAUUGAUCCUGCCCAUUGCUGGACCCAGUGUGAACUCAAGCAUAAUGUAUGUGCCAGUUUAAAGCCACUGUGCCUUCCUAGAAGCAGCUCAUUUUAGCUGUUAUCCUACAAAGAAGGAGAGAAGGUGGAACAAACCAAAUUACAUUGGUAGGGUAAAAGAGCCAACAGUUUUCCAGGUUUGAAAUGCAAUGCCUUUAGAAAUUCACAACUGACAGUUGCUUCAUCAAGGCACAGAAUUUUGCAAAGCCUUUGAUAAAUUAAAUGCAACAUGAGGCAUUUUCUUGUGAAUCAUUUUUUAUGGCUAUUCUUGGUUUUUCCAGUGGGAUCUUACUUUCUUAGAGCAGAGAUUUGUCACCAGUUAAUUGAUUUGUCUGAACUCUCUGCCAAAAUCAACAAGGAAGGAAUUGACAGGACGGACUUUAGAAACGGAGAAGUUGUGACAUGUUUGAAGAGAAUGCAUGCUCAGAGGAGGGUCUGCUUCUUCUUCAAAAAGCAGUUUCCUAUCAGCAAAACAAGCUCUACUCUUUCCUGCAUGUAUCUUGUCUCUGCCUUGCAGCAAUGCUAUGGGGGUGCUUCAUCUUUUGAGAAGCAAAGGGAAAGAGAUUUACUAAAGAACAACCUUGCACAUGCUAUUGCAACUCCAGCCAUUCUAUUGAGUUGAGCUAAGGCAAGCAUUAAAGCAAGCUGAAACUCUAAGGAUUAGAAGUCUUCACAGUAAUUACAGGGUCUGUUUUUCUACUGGCAUGCUGCAGCUUCUAUGACAAAGAAGUACAUAUUGGUACAACAGUACAGAAAAAUACCACCCUGCUGCCUGGUCAUGGGUGUUGUGGGGCAGACAUGUCAAUCUCCUGGGAGAAAUCAACAGUGCAAAACUUGUGUGGUGCAAACUGCCAUAUUUUAAUACUGAAAGAUCAAACUUCAAGCAGCGGAAAAUGUGAGGCAGUGCCCAGAGCAGUUUUAUCUUUCAGAAAUGUAAGUAAACACAAGUAGCCAGGAGUUAAAGAACUAACUUAAAACAGAAAUUAUGCCACUUCUUUCUCCAUUCUUCUCCUCACCCUUCCCUGAAACACUACAACCAAAACCAACAGCACACCAUGUAGUCCCAAGCCUCAAUAUUUACUCACACAUGAAGAACAUGCAAAGCUUUUUAAAAUCCUCUUGACAACUUGUACAAGAAAACUGUUUAGCUAUGAGUGGAAUGUCCUCUUACAAAAUGCCAAACAGCCUUGUGUUUUUAGGCCAAAAGCUAACAAGUUGAACUGUGAGCUCUUAUAACUUGUUCUGUUCAUCCACAGUAAGAAUCUGGAGUGCUUUAAAAAUGUUGAGAGCAUGACAGUGAUUGACAAGAAAAGAAGGAAUGUAAGGACAUGCUGUACUUUAAAAAAUUUUAAUUACUUUUGUAAAACAAAAUUGAUAGUGAUGGUGGUCCUGCAUUUGCAGUUUGAAGCAGGAGCCAGGGCUGUUUUCUCACCAUGACCCUUACACACUGCCUUGCACCCUUAUGUAGGAACACCAAAUUUGAUAAAUCCCAGAGUAACUUUAAGGAGAGAUAUCCUAAGAAAUUAAACAGCUGCUUGAACUAUUCAUGUUUUAACUUUUUCUCAGUAAAGGCAUGUCUUAAUUUUAGUGUGUGCAGUGCAUGCAUGAGGCUCUUUCCAUCAUUUUUACUGGAUGUGUGCAGUGAUGGAUCUCCAAGCAUAUAGGUUUGGUUCCAGUUCAGUGUGGGCACAUGACCAUGUUGUCAUUGAAUUAAGUAUGUCUGGUAUGGAGUUGAUACGAGUUUUUAACAGUUGGUAGCUGAUAUCUAAUCUCACAUGAAGUGACAAUGGCACAGAGAGAGCAGUAGUUUUAAUCACAUUGUGUCAGUAAGAAAUCAGCAAAAUUUUAGAGUAAUUUUAACUGACAGUGUGAGUGAAAGCUGGAUCCUUGGGUAGCAGGUUAUGGUAUAUCUGGUCCAAUGCCAAGAGCCCUAAUGUUGGAUUUAUUGUGUCAUUAAGUCAUGGCCAGAGAGGAGGAGGGUGAACUGUUUCUCUUACAGGUGCUGAAAAAGGAAAGCACCGCCACUGGUACAUUUUUCUCAGUGAAAAAGCCGGUGCUAUGGGAAAACUGCUGUUGGAGAUGAUUCAACCAUCAUCUGUCUGCAUGUUAAAUCUUCAAAAUACUCUGUAACUGCAUAGAGAUGGCAAAACCAAUGUGAAACUGCUAACAUGUUAAAGCAGGGAGAUUUAAGGAUGUGUUGCAAGCAUUUGUAUAACUACACUUCUUGAACUGAGCUCAGGUACAGUUGUUGUCUGCUUGGAUCAUUUAACUGGCCAAAGACCAAAAUAUACCCUUAAUAUUCCACAGACACCUAUGGCCAGUAAUGACAGGGUCCUCCAGGGACUUGUUAAUUGUGUCAAUAAAAUAUUAGCUAAAUAGUAGCUGAGUUUUUCUGGUUAAAAGAAAACUAGACCUUCAUUAUAUUCCAAGAUAAGCUUAAAAACCUUACUUUUUUCAUUUUGUGACCUGGUUAUCCUGGUUAUGGUGACUGGACAAUUCAGAUCCGCUAAUUUAUUGACUUCACUGAAAACACAGCCUAAAUCGUCUAAAAUAUAGAUCAUUGCUUUGUUUGUCAUCAUUCUGCUGAAAUUUUAAGUAAAGUAGGUAAAUGUGCUUUGUCAGAUUCAAGCAUACGUGGGACGUGAAAUGUGUUUACUUCAUCAGCUCUCAAGCUGGGUCACAGUCUGAGGGCAUACAGCUCUGCGGUGAAAUCACCAGCCUCUUGCACCUAUCUCCACAGUGACUGCCUACAUGCCUUCUAUUACACAGGCUCUACAUCCCCAAUCAAGUGGCCACAAGAGAUUGCUAUCUUGCAAUACUGACAAUGUGGGUGUUUAUACAGAGUAUAAACAUGCAUGUGCACUGUGCAUGCACUAACAUGCCUUCAUUUACCCGCAUAAGUCAACACAAGACACAAAACUGACAGAUGUCUUUGCCUCUAGUGAGCUCCUACCUGGACACACAGCUGGUUUGGAACAGAACAAAGCAGGCAGUUACAGGGCAUCUAACCCAACUGAUGCAGGGCAAAGCAGCCACAGCCUUGGGCCUCCUUCUGCAGCUUGCAGGGGGUACCUGCUCUCUUUCUGUUCACUGACUAUUGUGUUCCCUGGAACAUGGUGUGUAACAAAACAUACAGAUUGUUGUUUUGGCACCAGGGAAGAUGCUGCCUCUGUCUUGGAUGCUGCAGCUGUGGUUGGAACCCUGGAAAGGGAACAAGAUGCUUUUCUUUGGUGCUGUUAAGCAUGAUCAGUUGAGUGAACCACUUUUAGGAUAGGAUGGACAGAGAAAAGUGUUUGGAAGAACCUAAACUAACAAGGGGUUAAUUUAGAAACUUUCUGUUUCUGUUCUGCCUAACUUGAAGAGUUCUCUUUUGUUGUUGUUGGGGUUUUGUAAAAAGUAUUCCUUUGUGUUUAACAAAAUCUUAUUUCUGAAGUUAAGAGCUUUGUGUUUUGGGAUGUAUGUUUCAUCUUUCAGGUAGAGAUCUCAAAGACCUGCUGACUCCACCAGACUGCUAAUAUAAUUAUAAAUGUUUAUUACCUCCAAAAGGAGGAGGUGCCUGCUUUAAGGUGUCUUGCAGGAUUAUAAUGUGAAUUCCUUAGUUCAUUGCAAGAGAUGCUGUUCCUCUGCCCCAUGCUUAGUGGAUUUGCACUUGGUAGAUUUGCCUGUGUACAUGACAAGAGCCAAUUGCCAAACAUAAAGAUUUGAAUGUAAACUCAUUGCUAAACUUUGGCCUGGAAGCAUCAAGUUGUUCUUCUGAGCAUUUGCACGUACAAAAGGUGAGUACAGAGGUAAAGAGCAAUAAAAGGGCAAGGCAAAAGAGAAGGACUCAUAAAGCACCUCAGCAGAGCUACCCUGUUUGCCUGUAUCAAUGAGUCUGAGUUUUGCCCUUUUAAAUGCUUGUGCCUUUGCACACUUUGCACCAUGAGGCCAUUUAUAACAGAUGCAGAGCUUGAACAAAGCAUAUUUGCAGCUCCUCUACCUAUUUAUGAGCUGGUGUGUACACUUUGCAGUGUUUCACAUAGUGUGAGUGAAGCAAAUAGGUACUUUUAUAUUUCCUUAUUCCUGAUGGAAGCAGCAAGGGGGAAAGGGCAAAAGGAGAAGCCAGAAUUUCUGCUAUCAGGAAGAAAAUUGAGAUAGAGAAAUCCUAAGAUUUUAUCUGAGCAACCUAGUAAUGUGUCUGCUUGCUAAUGAGUUCUGCUGUAAAUCACUAGCUUGUCAGUAUGUAUAUAUUCUGCUUAUUUGCUGUAUUUACUUAGGGCCUCGAUAAUUCAAAUCUGCAAAUUUAUUGACUUAACUGAAAUUGCAGCCUAAAUCAUAUAAAAUGUGGGGUAAAUACAUGUAUGGAUUAUUGUGGGAUGGUUUUAUUAUGGGGCUAGACUGUGUCUCCAGACAGAAACACAUAACUUUUACCUAUGUUUAAAAAUAUGCCCAGAUACCCAAGCACGGUAUUGUCACAUAUAAACCCAGCUCAAAGCAAUAACUGGCUGUGACAAGGCCAGAAACCCAUCCCAAUUCUAUUUCACCUGGCACAUCUCCAAAUGCUGAUUCUCAUGGUAUAUCCCAAUAUACCAGCUGCUCCCAGUACAAAGACAACAGUUUGUUAGUUCAUUAUGGAUUGUUUAUGAUUGACAAUAUUUACUGUAUGUACAUUUUGAAGAAACACAGUGCUGUAAACAAACAGGGAUAUUAGGCAGCUGUAUGUUCCUAUACCAUGCAAAUAAACUGUAGUUGGAGCUUUUAUCCUGCUAGCAACUCAGGCAAACAGAUUGUAAGGACAGUUGGGAAUUAGCCAGGACUUUUAUGAUGGUUGUGAAGAAGUACAUUGUAAGUACUUCUGUAAUUAUUCCAUCUAGGUCAGCCAGUGACUUGUCCUACUGUACAGAGUCCUCAAAAUGGCUGCACUUAGUUUGGCAUUUACUGAGGGACAGGCAAGGGCUUUAGGCAUGGCCAGUAUGGCAAGAAGUCAUCAUGCUCAUAUCACUUUUGUCUUGCAGUCCUGGGGAAUGGGCUGGCAGGCACAGCUCAGCUGCAGGGUCCCUCCUUCAAGGCCAAAAUUUCUGUCCUCUCCAUGUCCCCCACACCAAUGUGCCACCAUUGCACUGAUGUGAUUGAUGAGUAGGGUCUACUCACACCUUUGAUGAGAGAAGUGCUGAUUUGUGUGAACCUUGUGUGGGACCCCUUGGGCAGGGUCUGCAGGGAUGCUGUGACUUCAGCCCCAUCCCACCUACUGCCAACCACUUUUCACUUCCUCAAAACCUUUGCAGCACAGCCAAGGGAGCUUUCCUUUUCAGUAUACUGAAGUGAUUACUCUGCUCACUCAGGAUGGUUUUCCAAGAACUGUGGCUGCUGGCAUCUGUAUGCAACUACAAAGCUCUGGGGAUCUUCUGGAGAUGGAUUCAGGCAGGGUAUUCCAGCUUAGAAGUUUCAGUUGCUCAAAAGCAGCAUGAAAUAUGUAUAAUCAUUAUGUCCUUCUGUUUAUUCUGACCCUGUACAAGAUGAAGCUAUGUGUCAUAUGCUUAAUAUUAAAUGGACUGAACAGGUUUCUCUUUAA